rnacentral:rRNA from 1 species
GAUGAACGCUAGCGGCAGGCUUAAUUACAUGCAAGUCGUACGGGAUCCGAGGUAGCAAUACUUUGGUGAGAGUGGCGCACGGGUGCGUAACACGUAUGCAACCUACCUUUAACCGGGACACAACCUUGAGAAAUUGAGGCUAAUAUCCCAUAACACUGCGAGAUGGCAUCAUUUUGCAGUUAAAACUCCGGUGGUUAUAGAUGGGCAUGCGCGACAUUAGCUAGUUGGUGAGGUAACGGCCCACCAAGGCUACGAUGUCUAGGGGUUCUGAGAGGAUUAUCCCCCACACUGGUACUGAGACACGGACCAGACUCCUACGGGAGGCAGCAGUAAGGAAUAUUGGUCAAUGGGCGCAAGCCUGAAACCAGCCAUGCCGCGUGAAGGAUGACGGCCCUAUGGGUUGUAAACUUCUUUUGUACGGGAAAAAACCACAGGUCGAGUAUCUGUGCUGAUGGUACCGUAAGAAUAAGCAAUCGGCU